rnacentral:rRNA from 2 species
UACGUAGGGUCCAAGCGUUGUCCGGAUUUAUUGGGCGUAAAGAGCUCGUAGGCGGCUCGGUAAGUCGGAUGUGAAAACUCGGGGCUCAACCCCGAGACGCCAUCCGAUACUGCUGUGGCUUGAGUCUGGUAGGGGAGAUCGGAAUUCCUGGUGUAGCGGUGAAAUGCGCAGAUAUCAGGAGGAACACCGGUGGCGAAGGCGGAUCUCUGGGCCAGUACUGACGCUGAGGAGCGAAAGCGUGGGUAGCAAACAGG